UACCCCUGGAAAUGGGCAAAGAGAUACCUUGUUGGUGGUAUUCUUUUAUCAGCCAGGGGCAAAGCAGAUGGUAAUCCUUUGUUCAUCCUAGUGUGAUGCCUGACUUGGUGGCCAAAGCUUGGUGGCCUAGAGCACAUUA